ACAGAGGAGGGAGUCCCUCCCUCUAAAACCACUCUGUGUGGGGAAGAUGAGAGCCAGAGCAAAGGUCAGAGGAUCCAUCAGAGACUCAAACCAGAACCAGAACCAGAACCAGAACCCAGCUGUGUGUCCUUUAAGAGCGACAAGUCAAGGGUCAGUUCAUUGACUUUAAAUCUCCUGGAUCUCCACCAUCAGAGAGAGUGGACCAGCAGUUCUCAGAGGUUCCCAGUGGUCCAUAUGACCAGCAUGAUCGAAUACAUCUGGACUCCAUAUUUACGG